UAUAUACUCCCUCCGUCCAAAAAUACUUGUCAUAUGAAUGGAUGUAUCUAGAUGUAUUUUAAUUCUAGAUACAUCCAUUUGUAUCCAUUUGCGCGACAGGUAUUUUCGAACGGAGGGAAUUUAAA
rfam:Hordeum vulgare subsp. vulgare, WGS project CAJW01000000 data, contig: morex_contig_100751